rfam:Listeria phage A511, complete genome.
GUGUCCUUAACUCAGAGGUCAGAGUGCCGUCCUGUUAAGUCGGAAGUCGCUGGUUCAAAUCCAGCAGGAUACG